GGCUCGAUGAUUAAACGCCUUUUAAAGGGCAAUAUACGCUAUGCUGAGGAUCUUGAUGUGAUGAAUGCAAAAGAUUGCAAAAUGAGAGCU